UACGUAGGGUGCGAGCGUUGUCCGGAAUUAUUGGGCGUAAAGGGCUCGUAGGCGGUUUGUCGCGUCGGGAGUGAAAACGCCGUGCUUAACACGGCGCUUGCUUUCGAUACGGGCAGACUAGAGGUAUGCAGGGGAGAACGGAAUUCCUGGUGUAGCGGUGAAAUGCGCAGAUAUCAGGAGGAACACCGGUGGCGAAGGCGGUUCUCUGGACAGUUCCUGACGCUGAGGCACGAAGGCCAGGGGAGCAAACGGG
rnacentral:rRNA from 1 species